rnacentral:tRNA from 1 species
AAAAAGAUAAGCUAACUAAGCUUCUGGGCUCAUACCCCAUCUAUAAAGGUAACAAUCCUUUUCUUUUUA